rnacentral:rRNA from 1 species
AGGGAAUUUUCGGCAAUGGGCGCAAGCCUGACCGAGCAACGCCGCGUGAGUGAUGACGGCCUUCGGGUUGUAAAACUCUGUUCUUCGGGAAGAACGCAGGAGAGGUGAAUAGCCUUUUCUGGUGACGGUACCGAAGGAGAAAGCCCCGGCUAACUACGUGCCAGCAGCCGCGGUAAUACGUAGGGGGCGAGCGUUGUCCGGAAUUAUUGGGCGUAAAGGGCGCGCAGGCGGCCGAUUAAGUCGGAUGUGAAAGGCCACGGCUCAACCGUGGAGUUGCAUCCGAAACUGGUUGGCUUGAGUGCAGGAGAGGAGAGCGGAAUUCCCGGUGUAGCGGUGAAAUGCGUAGAGAUCGGGAGGAACACCAGUGGCGAAGGCGGCUCUCUGGCCUGUUACUGACGCUGAGGCGCGAAAGCGUGGGUAGCGAAC